GUGCUUGCUUCGGCAGCACAUAUACUAAAAUUGGAACGAUACAGAGAAGAUUAGCACGGCCCAUGCACAAGGAUGACAUGCAAAUUCGUGAAGCGUUCCAUAUUAAA
rnacentral:snRNA from 1 species